rnacentral:ncRNA from 1 species
CAAUGCCUUGGUCCUAAACAUGCUCUUAUCUAUUACAAGAAUUACACAUGCAAGCCUCCACAAACCCGUGCCACCACCCACAGCCUUUCCCUCAGGCAACCCUCGGGUAUCAGGCACACCACAAGUAGCCCAUAACACCCAGCCUUUGCCACUCCCCCACGGAACUCAGCAGUGAUUAACCUUAAGCAAUGAGCCCCUCAGCUCGACUUAGUCAAACUAAAUUAGGGCCGGUAAACCUCGUGCCAGCCACCGCGGUUAUACGAAGGGCCUAAGAUAAACCAAACGGCGUAAAGAGUAGCAUCAGAGCCAAUGCCACGGGGGCACAAAACUACGGCCUAGUUGUAAAAUACCAAUGCCAAUAAGAAUUACCUGCCAAGCCCCCAAGCCCAAUACCUCUACCUACUAAAGCUGGGGUACAAACUAGGAUUAGAUACCCUACUAUACCCAGCCCUCAACCACACACAAGACAUACUACCUUGGUCGCCAGAGAAUUACAAGCAAAAGCUUAAAACUCAAAGGACUUGACGGUGUCCCAAUCCCCCUAGAGGAGCCUGUCCUAUAAUCGAUACCCCACGCUUUACCUUACCCCUCCUUGCCAGACCGCCUAUAUACCGCCGUCGCCAGCCCACUUAAUGAUAAAAAACACGUAGGCAGCAAAGAACCACCACUUAAACGCCAGGUCAAGGUGUAGCCCAUGGAGGGGCAGAGAUGGGCUACAUUUCCUACUAUAGAAUACACCACCAGCACUAUGAAACAUUAAGCUAGAAGGUGGAUUUAGCAGUAAAUACGCACAAGAUACGGCAUAUUGAACCCGGCCCUGGGACGUGUACACACCGCCCGUCACCCUCCUCAAAACCCAAAAACAAAUAAAUAAAAACAAAUUUAUCCUACAGAUGAGGCAAGUCGUAACAUGGUAAGCGCACUGGAAAGUGUGCUUGGAAGA